UCCUUUUCUUUUAGAAGUGAACAAAUAACCUUAAUUUUCUCCACAUCUACAGUGAGCGCGAACGAUGGCUAGAGAAAAAUCAGGAAGUGUUGGAGGAAAUUCCGCAACCACCUUCUCUCCCAUGUUAUUUUUGAAGAAAAUCAGCUAAGAAGACAUCUAAUUAGAACAAACAUAUCACCUUUCUCUUCUUACAAUUUGUUGUGGAUUUGCUUCGAUUGACAUUAUUCAGACCCUAUCUUGAUUUUUCAAUCUCUUAAAGAUCUUGAAUGUCAAUAUGAAGAAUAUACCGUUCAACAGCGUACAGAGCAAGUAGAAGUUUAAGAUGGCUUUCACUUUAGUUAGGGGUGGUUUAAAUUAAAGACAAUGUCAUAUCGUUUAUUUUUUUUUUGCAAUUUUUCUCUUUUUAAGGAGUUGAUAAAGAUAUGUUAUGCUACUUGAAUAUGAUAUAUUUUUCUUUAAUUGGUUUUUUUGUAUUAAGCAGGAGACUUUCUAUAAUGAAUUCAAUUGUUUAGUUUA